UAGAACCUGUUCAGGACAUCCUAGCAUCAGAGUAACAGCUGAGAGUGGACUGGGUAUUUCAGGACCUCCAGGCAGGUAUGCAAAGGAUUGCUGUGAUGCCAGAGCACUGACUGAGGGAGCAGCUAGUGAUAUUUUAGGAAAGGUUGAGUACUGAAAUAGUUUUAGGAGUCUGUGGACAGAAAACACAUAGUUAAAUGACACCUUCAGGGCCUGUGAGUUAAGUCUCCUCCUCCCUUCUUCUCCUAGGAUAUCCCUCCUCUAUUUUCUUCCUUCCUUCCAUCCAUCCGAGAUUUAAAACUUUUGCUCUGCUGCUCUUCCUGACACCUGCAAAUGAUUCUUUCUCCAUGGAGACAUUUGAUCCUACCCACAUGCACUUUCUGCUUGCUUUCUCCCUCCUCCCUAUUUCAGGGGUCACACGCACAGAUAUUCAAUUAUCCUGACUACCUGCUGGGACUGCCCAUGCCUCCAACUGGCCCAUGGGCAGGGUGGUCCAGAAGGGCUUUCUUCAGGGAAGCUGCAGCUGUGUCAGAUAAAAGAGCAGCAGCAGCUGGGAAAGAUAGUAACACAAAGUAGUGUGAUUACCUUCUGUGUUUCCUGGUGUUAGGCCUGCAUUGCAUAUAUUUAAGGUUGUGAGAAUUUUUUCCCUUGAAGUGUGUCUGGCAGAUGUGAUUUUGAUAUGAAAUGGGACCAAGCUGGAGAAUGACUUUGUUCUGAAGUGAGAUGUUUGCAUCUCUUGACACUUAAUGAACCACCACAGUCUUCUCUGGAUGACUGGGUGACUCUUUAUGGGAUGUGAAACAGCACAAGAACCUCCUGAAGUAGCCUCCUGGUGUUCCUUUAGGCUGUUGGGUAGAAGAGAGCAGGCUGACUUUGGGAAACAAAAAGAAUGGAGAGAUCAGCCAGCUUGCUGGGAAGUACUGGCCACGUAGUUGUUGAAAGACAAUAAAUUUCUAUUUGAGAGAAUAGCAAUUAGUUUAUAACUCCUCCUACAUUUGUAUAAGAAAGCUUAUUUGUGCAA